rnacentral:rRNA from 1 species
UAAUACGAAGGGGGCUAGCGUUGCUCGGAAUCACUGGGCGUAAAGGGCGCGUAGGCGGCCAUUCAAGUCAGGGGUGAAAGCCCAAGGCUCAACCUUGGAAUUGCCUUUGAUACUGUUUGGCUUGAGACCGGAAGAGGUCGGCGGAACUGCGAGUGUAGAGGUGAAAUUCGUAGAUAUUCGCAAGAACACCAGUGGCGAAGGCGGCCGACUGGUCCGGUUCUGACGCUGAGGCGCGAAAGCGUGGGGAGCAAACAGGAUUAGAUACCCUGGUAGUCCACGCCGUAAACGAUGGAUGCUAGCCGUUGGCCGGCUUGCCGGUCAGUGGCGCAGCUAACGCUUUAAGCAUCCCGCCUGGGGAGUACGGUCGCAAGAUUA